rnacentral:rRNA from 1 species
ACGCACGCUGGCGGCGUGCUUAACACAUGCCAGUCGAACGGAGAGGCCCUGCUUUUGUGGGGUGCUCGAGUGGCGAACGGGUGAGUAACACGUGAGUAACCUGCCCUUGACUUUGGGAUAACUUCAGGAAACUGGGGCUAAUACCGGAUAGGAGCUCCUGCUGCAUGGUGGGGGUUGGAAAGUUUCGGCGGUUGGGGAUGGACUCGCGGCUUAUCAGCUUGUUGGUGGGGUAGUGGCUUACCAAGGCUUUGACGGGUAGCCGGCCUGAGAGGGUGACCGGCCACAUUGGGACUGAGAUACGGCCCAGACUCCUACGGGAGGCAGCAGUGGGGAAUAUUGCACAAUGGGCGGAAGCCUGAUGCAGCAACGCCGCGUGCGGGAUGACGGCCUUCGGGUUGUAAACCGCUUUCGCCUGUGACGAAGCGUGAGUGACGGUAAUGGGUAAAGAAGCACCGGCUAACUACGUG